rnacentral:rRNA from 1 species
UACAGGGGGGCAAGCGUUGUUCGGAAUUACUGGGCGUAAAGGGCGCGUAGGCGGUUUGCUAAGUUGGAUGUGAAAACUCUGGGCUUAACCCAGAGCCUGCAUCCAAAACUGGCAAACUUGAGUACUGGAGGGGAAAGCGGAAUUCCUGGUGUAGCGGUGAAAUGCGUAGAUAUCAGGAGGAACACCGGUGGCGAAGGCGGCUUUCUGGACAGUAACUGACGCUGAGGCGCGAAAGCUAGGGGAGCAAACAGG